GAGGCUCCCAGAGAAGCCAUCAUAGUUCAUCUGUGCAGCCAAAAGCCUUAACAUUUCCUUCCGAAGUGUUGUCGGUAUCUUCAGAGAUUGACAAGAAUUGUCAAUAUAUCGAUUUUC